CACGUCUCCGGGCCGCAGCACGCAAUCCUGGUAUGGAGCCUUGGAGAACUCUGGGAAGCGCUUCGUGUCGGGGUUCUCCACCUCCACCUGGGCCGAAAGAAAAAAAGGAAGCCUCCUGCUUUCGAGUUACCUGUGCCAGGAAGUUGUGCUGGGGAUCCUGGUGGAGGGGCGAGACAGUGCCGGCGGGCCCGAACCAAGCAUUGACCGUCACGUCCUCCUCGUCGCCGUCACCCAAGCAGCAGUAAUCAGGCAAGCGAAUGUCAUCCUUCAACUCUGGUAUCUGUGGCAACGGCAAAAUUAUUCUAACAUACAAC